rnacentral:misc_RNA from 1 species
UUUAUUCUGCUUUAAAUUAUCCUUCAUAGUAUGAGAAAGGCAAUUAAUACCAUGCCAAAGUUACCAUUUGACAUAUUCACUAAUUGUCUAUGAUAAAAAGAAAAUGUUCCAAAUAUCAUAAAGGCAUAAAAUAGAACUAUAAUAAGAGAGAGCAAUACCCACGCACUAUUUUACUUUUUGGUGUCUCAGGGGCAUGUGAACACAAUUCAGCAUUCCACAUGUUGCCCCUGCCUCCCAAACUGCUUUAGUAACUAAUUGAAGUUGACAAAUUUAAAAGCAUCGAAGUCUAUGAGUUUACAUUAAAAGCUUUCUGUGUUGAAACAAUAAGACAAUUAGAGGAAAAGAAUUGAUAAAUAAGUGCAAAUAAGAAAUUAUGGCAUAUGACACUUUUCAUCCUUUUGUCAUUUUAGGCGCAUAGAUGUUAACAGGCCAAUAAUAUGACCAAGAAAGUAUGUAACCUCAUACUUUAUUUGGACGGAGGGAUAAGGAGUGAUAGGAAAGGAAAAUGUUAAAGGGAUAAGAAUUGUUCCUUGUUUGAGAGUUUAAUGAGGUUGGAAAAGAAGGAUAAGAAGGGAUUAGUUAUCCUUUCAAACUCCACUUUGUUUUCCCAUCAAAAUUGAGG